GCUUACGGCCACACCGCCUGGUUCAUGCCCGAUCUCGUUUGAUCUCGGAAGCUAAGAUAGGUUGGGCCUGGUUAGUACUUGGAUGGGAGACCGCCUGGGAAUACCAGGUGCUGUAAGGC
ensembl:rRNA 5S_rRNA 5S ribosomal RNA